rnacentral:rRNA from 1 species
GACGAACGCUGGCGGCGUGCUUAACACAUGCAAGUCGAACGAUGAAAGAGGAGCUUGCUCCUCUGGAUUAGUGGCGAACGGGUGAGUAACACGUGAGCAAUCUGCCCCUGACUCCGGAAUAACUACGGGAAACUGUAGCUAAUACCGGAUAUGCGCCGAACACGCAUCUGGAUCGGUGGGAAAGAAUUUCGGUCAGGGAUGAGCUCGCGGCCUAUCAGCUUGUUGGUGAGGUAACGGCUCACCAAGGCGACGACGGGUAGCCGGCCUGAGAGGGUGACCGGCCACAUUGGGACUGAGACACGGCCCAGACUCCUACGGGAGGCAGCAGUGGGGAAUAUUGCACAAUGGGAGCAAGCCUGAUGCAGCAACGCCGCGUGAGGGAUGACGGCCUUCGGGUUGUAAACCUCUUUUAGCAGGGAAGAAGCGAAAGUGACGGUACCUGCAGAAAAAGCGCCGGCUAACUACGUG